UUUAAUAAAUAUAAUAAUAAUUAAUGCAAAUCUGUUAAAUAAAUAGUUAAAAAAAAUUUUUAAAAAUUGAAAUGACAAUAAAAGAAAAAAAUCAAAUAGUAAAAAAAAGGUAAUUUGAAUUCAUAUACAAAAGACUUAAGUGAUUUAAUAAUUAAAAGAAAAUAAAAUAAAUAGAAAUUUAAAAAUUCAAUUAAUAAAACAAAACACCUAAAUAAAAAUUUAAAUGGGCUCAAGUGUUCCAUGCAGUUCAGAAUAUUCAAUUAAUUAAAAAGAAAAGAAAAGUGUGGUGGCAUGUCAAAAAUUCAAGGCUGAUGUAAAAAUUAAAAGGAAAAACUUUAUUUAUAAUAAUAAAAUAAAAAAUUAAAAAAAAUGUUGAAAGUGAGGAAUUUUAUAGCACUGUAUAAUAAUAAUAAUAAUAAUA
rnacentral:misc_RNA from 1 species